AGGAAUAGGCUCAUUAGACUACAAGAAUUUGGAUUGGGCCCGAUCCAUUAAAUGGAGCUUUCCUCUUGAGCUAACCCAUGUCAAACCUUCUCAUCAAAUCCCUAAUUCUCCUCCUAAACUAAGCCCUAAACCAAAUGCAAAUCCCGGUUCAAACCUUGGUAUAAAACCCAAAAGAAUCGCGGAUGAACAGUGGUUGCGCCUACUGUUCAUCGUGCCAUCGGCGAUUUCUUCUCCGUUAGCGCGUGCGCAAGCCCCCGAUUCCAGUAAUAAUCUCAUCUUGAGCUGCAGAUCCAUUGAGGAAGAAACAAGGAAGCUGCUGACCUAAUUUCCUGAAGCUGGAGGUUCGCCAAAGAGGUCUCGACGGCAAGCUUGGCUGCGAUUCAAAUCUUCAUUUCCGCCCCUGUUCGAAUGGUAUUGACAGCAGGAGAUCAUCAGCCAUCAUCGGGAAGAGUUAGAGAGGUCUCUCUAAUGUUUUCCGAUUUGCAUCCAGUCACCAUCAGAGCCCCAUCAGCAAACAACUGCUGGCCCAGAUUUGAAUCGCAGAUCCAGAUUUCAACAAUUCUGUGUCUUCGGGUGAUAAGUUACUUGAUCUUGAUCCAGAGAUUGAAAGGACUUUCAAAGCUUUGAGAAUUCAGGAAAAAAUUUCAGAGGACUCAGGAAGUUCUUUAUCAUCUUCAAAUACCCCCAUGGCUGAUCAGAGCAGAACAAUGAAGGAGCUUGCAGCUCCUGAUGAGGCUUUCAAGUAUUCAUGCAUCACUUAUCCAACUUUAGCUGGUGAUUUUGAGCUGAGAUCAGGGUUGAUUCAUUUGCUUCCCAAAUAUCAAGGAUUAUCUGGAGAAGACCCAAACAAACAUUUGCAUGAAUUCCAUGUGGUUUGCUCAACCAUGAAGCCA